rnacentral:lncRNA from 1 species
UACCCGUCAUAUAAUCCUGUAAUAAAAAAGUUAAUAGAGGGUCAAACAAUGUAAAAUAAUUUGGAAAAUGUCAUUUUAUAACCCCAAAAAAUGGCCUAAAAUAAGCUUCCAGCAUCAGGAAAGAUACCGAGGGAAUAAUUACAUUAAACAUCAGACUCAAUUCUAAGCACAACUUUUCAGCUGAGCAUUGUCCACACUUUUGCGUAUCAAUUCAAGUAGCUCUUCCUCCAUUUCCUCCUUUUCACGACUCAUUUCUUUGACUUCUUCCUCCAUUGCCUCCCUGCAAGCAGACUAAUUACAUUACAACUUUUACAUUGUAAUAAACCUCGUCAUUUUCUUCUCUUCCUGACAAGGAGUGAAAAAGUUGCUGGCACAAAAUUAUUUAAGAGUUCGCCAAGAAAACAGAAUAAGAUGCAUAAACUCAGUAACCCACUCACAAGUUCUACUGGAACCCUUGUAUACAACUAAUUGAUAUAAUGAAGGAAGUCAACUUGACUGGAAGAUAAGUGAAUAGAAGGAAGUCUGGAGAAGAAGGGUUAAUACCACUUUGUCCCCCCAAACUUUGGACGAUUACCCACUUCAGUCCCUAAACUUCAAAAUGGGACACUUAAGUCCCUAAACUUAUAAAUAACUCCCACUUAAGGAAAAUUGUUAACAAAUCUUGAAUAUCGUUGGUGGUCGAAGUGUUCCAUUUUAUAAGAGUUUAGGGAUUUAAGUGUCCCAUUUUAUAAGUUUAGGAACUUAAGUGGGAGGUAUUUAUAAGUUCAGGGACUUAAGUGUCUCAUUUUGAAGUUUAGGGACUGAAGUGGGUAAUCGUCUAAAGUUUGGAGGGACAAAGUGGAAUUAACCCGGAGAAGAACUAGGAAGGAGAAACAAUAUUUUAGGCAGGAACACUUCUUAUAAGAUCGAUCCCUUCACAACUACUGUGUGUGUGUGUACUUGUGUGUGGGAGAGAGAAGAGAGGGAGAACUGAGAAGAAAGCAAGAAACGCCUACACAUUUAAUAAGAGGCCAAUAUAAAAGACACCUACAUAGACCCAAAUUUGGGGCAAUCGCUACUAAACAGUUUAAGUCCUUUUCAACAGAUUGUAAUUGAGUUCAAAUUAAAUAACAUGCAUUAUAUUGAAACAAAAAUGAUAGUUGAAUACGUUCAUGUAGACUCAUCCAUUUCAAUAAUGCAUGAUAUUAGAUGAGACUUAUAUCAUGGUUCAAAGGAAUGGUUGCGGUCGUGGUCAGAGCAACCACUAUUCUGUGCCAGUCACGGCAAAAUCGUUACAAUUCAGAGAUGUAUAGUUGCUAUAUUAAGGGAGGUAGGGUUGGAUUGGGUGAAAUUGGACAAGGAGUAUAAGUGAGAGGUCUUAGAUUCAAGAUCCCCUACUUACACUAAAAAAAUAUAAAAAAUUAAAGAAUAGUUGCUAUAUAAAUUAUUCAUUAAAAAAUACAUAAUUUGUCUUAAAAUUCAUUCUCUAUCCUUGUUAUAGAAACAACAUUAUGAACUCACAACAAAAUACAUUUGUAUCCCAUCAUGGAACAGUUCUAUUUUUUAAAAAUUUGAGAAAAUAAAGAUUUUGUUUGUAUUUUUUUUUAUUUUUCACCCUUAUUGUGGACUGUAAGAUUAUAAAUUGAUAUUUCACUAACCAUUACGUAUUUCAAACUACAAUAAACAUUGAUUUCAAUAUACUAAAUAUUCUUAUGCAUUUCUAUUCAAAAUUGUAAGAAAGAGCUCAUUGGUUAGAUUUUAAAACAUUUAAAAUUCUAAAAUAACAUUCUAAGAAGUUUUGGUUUUCAAAGUUGGGUUAAAAAAUAAGAAGCAUGAAAUUACCUAUGAAGUUUUUAAAACUUCCAAGUAGCUUAGGGAAUAAUUUAAAUUUUAGAUUAGAGAUACU